rnacentral:rRNA from 1 species
GAGACAGCAGCCGCCGCGGGAAUGCGAGGGGUGCAAGCGUUAUUCGGAUUGAUUGGGUGUAAAGGGUGUGCAGACGGCUUAUUAAGUCACUUGUUAAAUUCUUCGGCCUAACUGAAGGUCUGCAAGUGAUACUGAUGAGCUAGAGGGUGGAAGAGAGAAGUGGAAUUCUCGGAGUAGCGGUAAAAUGCGUAGAUCUCGAGAGGAACACCAGUGGCGAAGGCGACUUUCUGGACGAAAACUGACGCUGAGGCGCGAAAGCCAGGGGAGCGAACGGGAUUAGAUACCCGCGUAGUCCCUGUCUCUUAUAC